CCGCCGCCGCCACCACCACCACCACCACCACCUUGGCCACAUCCGCACCGCAAGCACCUAAGUGUCUUUUUUGCUCGAACCUAUCGGUGGUUUAAAAAAACUGAUGGGCCCUGGAUGUAAUCCAGCGGCCGAGAGCGCAUGCCUCUGCCCUCGUCACCAGUGAAGAGAGUGUGUAGGAGGUCUUCGCAGAUUCUGGAUAUUGAUCCCCUGUUUGGACUUGAGGCCCAUUCCACAGAAGGGAAACAUGCCAGCUUUCCCCGGGCUGCUGAGGCCAUGGACCUCAGAAGAGAGUCUGCUCCCACACUUCGCUAGAUCAGCAUAAUUCCUUCCUGCCUUCUAAAACUUCUUUGUUUUUUGUUUUCCAAGAAAAGGUAUCUCUGUGUAGCCCUGGCAGUCCUAGAACUUGCCCCAUAGACUGGGCUGGCCUUGAACUCAGAGCUCUCGACUGCCUCUGCUUCCCUGGUGCUGGGACUAAAGGCGUGCGCCACCACCCAGCUCUACAUUCUAAAUCUUAUCCUUACACCCAGAGAUACGUGUAGCUCCCGCCGCUCAUCAGGGAAGCCUCUCUCUACAGCACAUGGAGACCAUCACAGAAAACGACAACUGGACACAAGGCGGAGUUCAACAGACUGUGGGAAGCCAGCCCCAGAAGACACGUCUGCAUCACAGCCCUUGCAUCUGUGGCUCAGGGGACAUCACAGAAGAGCAGGCAGAGAAAUCAUAGGAGCCAGAGGACCAGGAAGUCUGCUGUGAAACCGUCUCUCCUAGAAAUGGCUGCAUAAACAAGACCAGAACAAUGGCCAUAUCAUUGGAAACGUUAACAUGAAAGGGGGAAUCUUUUGCAGGGUCCCACCCUACACAAAGAACUACAAGCAAAUAAUGACCGCUAGGGGAUGGAGACUUCACCUCUCCCAAGAGUGAGCCUCCUAAUUGGUUGUCAGCCUUGGAAUCAUAUACACACCACCAACGUAAACAGACUCGGCAGGUGACAGUUAUAUGUACUUGCGCAUACACAUGCGUACACGCACACAUAUAUGUAUGCAACAGCAAUAAUAAAAGAAAAAGAGGCUAUCA